rnacentral:lncRNA from 1 species
AGUUUAAGAUUUAGGGUUUAGGGUUUAGGGUUUAGAGUUUAGGGUUUAGGGUUUAGAGUUUAGUGUUUAGGGUUUAGGGUUUAGGGUUUAAGGUUUAGGGUUUAAGGUUUAGGGUUUAGAGUUUAGGGUUUAGGGUUUAAAGUUGACAAAUAAGUUUUUGGGAUAAGAAUUCAAAUUUUGAAAAAUAAAAAAAUUAAAAUUUUCAAAGGAUAAACUUA